rnacentral:rRNA from 1 species
AAAGUUCCUUUCGGGGAGCGAGUAGAGUGGCGCACGGGUGAGUAACACGUAGGUAAUCUACCUUUGGAUUGGGAAUAACCACCGGAAACGGUGGCUAAUACCGAAUAAUGCAGCGGCACCUAAUGGUGACAGUUGUUAAAGCGGGGGAUCGCAAGACCUCGCGUCUAAAGAGGAGCCUGCGGCGGAUUAGCUAGUUGGUAAGGUAACGGCUUACCUAGGCGAUGAUCCGUAGCCGGCCUGAGAGGGCGGUCGGCCACACUGACACUGACAUACGGGUCAGACUCCUACGGGAGGCAGCAGUCGGGAAUUUUGGGCAAUGGGCGAAAGCCUGACCCAGCAACGCCGCGUGAAGGAUGAAAUCCCUCGGGAUGUAAACUUCGCAAGAACGGGAAGAAUAAGUCGGUGCCAACACCAUCGACGAUGACGGUACUGUUUGUAAGCUCCGGCUAACUCCGUGCCAGCAGCCGCGGUAAUACGGGGGGAGCAAGCGUUGUUCGGAUUUACUGGGCGUAAAGGGCGUGUAGGCGGCCACCGCAAGUCGACUGUGAAAUCUCCGGGCUUAACUCGGAAAGGUCAGCCGAUACUGCGGGGCUAGAGUGCAGAAGGGGCAACUGGAAUUCUCGGUGUAGCGGUGAAAUGCGUANAUAUCGAGAGGAACACCUGCGGCGAAGGCGGGUUGCUGGGCUGACACUGACGCUGAAACGCGAAAGCUAGGGGAGCGAACGGGAUUAGAUACCCCGGUAGUCCUAGCCUUAAACGAUGAAUGCUUGGUGUCUGGGGUUUUAUAGU